GGGGCUUUGAAUCAAGUCUGGUGGCUUGAUGUAGCUACCAGAUUCAAACAAUAGCCAAAAUAAAUCUCUUCUUAUGGUCUGUUGGCAGUUCACAUUUUCCAGAGACUUCCAAUUCAUUAAGAAGAAACAAAG